UGGGAGCUAGGUAGGGUUGUUUUGGGGGAAAUCAUAUGUAGGGAGAGCAGGGCAGAGAAUGGAGAUCAGUGGAGGUUGGGGCAAUCUCUAGGAUGUGUCAGACAUCUGGGAUAUAUGAAGCCUCAUAGGGUCAAUGUUGGAGACUCCAUCUGAGACUCCUAGUAGUGAGGGAUAUAUAUCUUGAAGCAACCACACCUUGUAGCAUUGGAGAAUGCCAGUAGAGAGCUAUGGACAGCAAUUUACCCACAGAACCUUCAACCCAAAAUGUGUCCUGCGUACAAGAUGUUCAGGGACAAAGAUAAAGUAUAGUUUGAGGGAAUACCCAAACGAUGACUGCCCCAAAUUGAGACCCAUCCUGUGGCCAAGCACCAAUCCCUGACAUUAAUAAGUAUGCUUAUAUACAGGAACCUUGCAUAAUGGUCCUCUGAGAAGCUCCACUCAGAAGGCAAGAAAAAGAUUCAGAGAAUUAGAUGAAGUUCAGGGUGUCUUAUGAAAGAUUUGACAGAAGGUCUAGGGGAUCUGAAGAAGACAGGCACUCCACAGGAAGACCAACAGAGUCAACUAACCUAGACCCUUGGGGCCUCCUAAAGACUGAAUUACCAGUCAAAGAAUGAACAGGAACUGGACCUAGAACCCCUGAAUAUAUAUAGCAGACGGACAGGUUGGUCUUCAUGCUGGGGCUGUCUCUGAGCCUGUUUUCAAAAGAUAAAAGGAAGGUAGAAUGAAGAAAAGACUUGCCUAAGGUAGUACUGGAAGAAAAGUAAGGGCUGAUAUCUGGUUAUAAAGUGAACACAUAAAAGAGAAGAAAAGAAAGGAAAAGAAAAGAAAAAAGAAAACAAAGAAAUAUUAAAAAUAUCUUUGUUAGUAGUUUUAUGGUAAGAUAUAAAGAACAUACAAAUAUAACCUAAAAUCAUAUUGAUUAAAAUUUGUAUAGUUUUAUAAAUCUCUU
rnacentral:lncRNA from 1 species